ACUCUUAUAGUUUAAUUAAAAUAUCAUUUUGAAGCAGUGAAGAUUUUAUGGGUG
rnacentral:tRNA from 1 species